rnacentral:rRNA from 1 species
AGAGACAGCAGCCGCCGCGGUAAUACCGAGGGUGCGAGCGUUAAUCGGAUUUACUGGGCGUAAAGCGUGCGUAGGCGGCUUUUUAAGUCGGAUGUGAAAUCCCUGAGCUUAACUUAGGAAUUGCAUUCGAUACUGGGAAGCUAGAGUAUGGGAGAGGAUGGUAGAAUUCCAGGUGUAGCGGUGAAAUGCGUAGAGAUCUGGAGGAAUACCGAUGGCGAAGGCAGCCAUCUGGCCUAAUACUGACGCUGAGGUACGAAAGCAUGGGGAGCAAACAGGAUUAGAUACCCCAGUAGUCCCUGUCUCUUAUAC